CAAACUCGGUGAUAGCUGGUUCUCCCCGAAAUAUAUUGAGGUAUAGCCUCGGAUGUUUCUUAACGGAGGUAAAGCACUGAAUAGGCUAGGGGCCCCACAGGGUUACCAAACCUAAUCAAACUCUGAAUGCCGUUAAGUGAAGUCCGGGAGGCAGGCUGCGGGGGAUAAGCUUCGUAGCCAAGAGGGAAAGAGCCCAGACUACCGUCUAAGGUCCCUAAAUCUAUGCUAAGUGGUGAAGGAGGUGGGAUCGCU
rnacentral:rRNA from 14 species